UCUCUGACACCAGAUCUUGAAUUUGGUGAUGCAGCUGGUGAGAUUGACUGGAUGGUAAUUAACAGGUGAUGUGUGAUCACUCUUUUUGGAUGGAAAUAAAGCUGGCAGUUUUCCACUGUUCUGGGUUAAAACUGUUAAGUCAGAACUGGAAAGAGCGAAAACUCCUGCAGCAGAAAGAGGCUGCUACAUUUAAGAAGCAGACAAGUAACACCAUGAAGACCAGAGGAAAUAUCGUUGUUCAUAAGCUUGAAUUGAUAUCCCAGCUUUGUGGGAGUAAACCCAACAGAUUUUAUGGAAUUAGAUUCCAGUAGCAGCAAAGAUAGUAUGUUUGGAUAUCCAACAGCAAAAAUGCUAGCAUAGCAUUUGGCAGUCAGUUCUGUGCCCUCUUUAGGAUCAUCAUUCAUCUGAUCUGUGUGUGGGAUUCAUGAAGAGGGCCAACUGGAGAAUGAGGCCCUUGUUUUCAACACACAUUUUUCCAGAACACUUUUCAAGGCAGUGAAGAUGAUUUGACCGAAGAUUACUAACUUCUACAGGGUUCAUGCAAAGAUAGUUAAUUCAUUUCUGUUUCCAUCACACCUUUUUAUUCCCCUUCCCCUCCCUUCCCCUCCCUCUCCCUCCUUCUCACUCCUUCCUGAUAACCCAGGUUCGAAAUUUCCCCAAGACACCUGAAGAAGGCUGGAGGGUAUACCAGCUGAAACGUUGUUUUAACAACAAACAAGAUGAGGACAAAUAUCCGUCAAAUGUAAAUAAUGUAAAAAAUUAUGUUUAUCGCUCUCGAGUGUCCCCACUGCACCCUUGGUCACCAUUACAAGGGUUUCUGUGUUCCCACACAUUUAUUACACAGUUGAUGACUUGGUGUUGGGUUCUUUAAUUCUUUUCACAGGAUGGGUUUCUAGCAGCCCUCCUUACAAGGCAUGCUUGGUCAGCAGAAUUGGUUUAGUUGUUGUUGAUGACCCAAUUAUGAAACAGGGUUUAUCAGACCACAAUGUAAUCUGCUGUGCUUGUGAGGGAGGUGAUAUCAUGCAAAUGCACACACACACACAAACACACACACGCGAAUUAACAUGCACACAC